GAUGAACGCUAGCGGCAGGCUUAAUACAUGCAAGUCGAGGGGCAGCAGCUUUAUAGCAAUAUAGAGGCUGGCGACCGGCAAACGGGUGCGGAACACGUACACAACCUUCCUUUAAGAGGGGGAUAGCCCAUAGAAAUGUGGAUUAAUACCCCGUAACAUAUCGGUGUGGCAUCACACUGUUAUUAUAGUUUCGACGCUUGAAGAUGGGUGUGCGGCUGAUUAGGUAGUUGGCGGGGUAAAGGCCCACCAAGCCUUCGAUCAGUAGCUGAUGUGAGGGCAUGAUCAGCCACACGGGAACUGAGAUACGGGCCCGACUCCUACGGGAGGCAGCAGUAAGGAAUAUUGGUCAAUGGACGCAAGUCUGAACCAGCCAUGCCGCGUGAAGGAUGAAGGUCCUCUGGAUUGUAAACUUCUUUUAUAGGGGGCGAAAAAAGGGAAUUCUUUCUCACUUGACAGUACCCUAUGAAUAAGCACCGGCUAACUCCGUGCCAGCCGCCGCGGUAA
rnacentral:rRNA from 1 species